rnacentral:tRNA from 1 species
GCACCCAUAGCUCAGUUGGCAGAGCAUCCGCCUCUUAAGCGGCAGGUCGAGAGUUCGAAUCUCUCUGGGUGCACAA